AUGAUUCAUUCACAAAAACAUGGAACAGCACUUGAAAAAUAAAACUCAGCACUGAACUUAACCGCCGGAAAACGCAGCCGGAGUUACUCGCUUCUCAACUCAGAAAAGUUGAGAAGAAGAAGAAGAAUAAUGAAUCGUAAAUUUGGAGGUGGAAAACAACCAACUGGGACACCUUCACUGCCUUUGUCUUGUGUUGUUGUUAUCUUUUCACUUCUUGCUGGUGCUUCUGUUGUUCACAAUAUCUAUAAACCUAACCUUACACUGCCCCCAAUUGAUGGAGUUGAUGGUACCAAGAAGAAACUAGAUGAGAAAGAAUGAUCAGUUUCAGUACUUUUAAUAUCGCUUCGAUGAGCAAAUUUUGAGGGAAAUUUUUUAGUGUAUGUGCAAUUAAUCCAGAGAUGCAGAGGAUUGUUCUUCUCAAACGGUUACUUUAUAUUAUAUUAGCUUUAGAUAAUAGAGUUCUGUUUGGAUAAACAGCUCAAUUAAACACUUAUAGCAUAGAUGUUUAUCAUAGAGUUUAUGUAUAAGUUAUUUUUGUAACAAAAGAUAUAAUAAAGUCAAAUUAUUUUCAUACAAGUUAUGCUGGUGAACUUGCGGAAAUAAGUUGUAAACAAUUUGCGGACAUGUCAUAAGCUGUUUUCGUAAGUUUUCUCAAA